rnacentral:rRNA from 1 species
UACGGAGGGUGCAAGCGUUAAUCGGAAUUACUGGGCGUAAAGCGUGCGCAGGCGGUUUGUUAAGUCUGUUGUGAAAUCCCCGAGCUCAACUUGGGAAUUGCAAUGGAUACUGGCAGGCUCGAGUAUGGUAGAGGAAGGUGGAAUUCCCGGUGUAGCAGUGAAAUGCGUAGAGAUCGGGAGGAACACCAGUGGCGAAGGCGGCCUUCUGGACAGUGACUGACGCUGAGACGCGAAAGCGUGGGGAGCAAACAGG